rnacentral:rRNA from 1 species
GACCCCAAUUCAGGCGGGGCCACCCGCUGGGUUUAA